AAAACUCCUCUUCCGGAGCCGGCCCCUUCCUCCCGCCGCCGGGCACGGCAGCAUUAUGAAAGCUGAACAUGUUCUCUGCCAGGAAGAUGUCAGGAGUUUGCAGAGCCAUCGGAUUCCAUCCCUUCAGAUCCCAUUCUGUAUCCAGGACUUCUCCAAACUUGGCUUUCGUGCCAGCCUGUCUUCCCCCAGAUCCGCUGGAUGUAGAGGAGCUGCAGCGCUUUGUGUCCAACUCCAAGAGGCUGUUUGUAAUGACUGGAGCUGGAAUCUCGACGGAAUCGGGGAUCCCAGAUUACCGCUCUGAAGGUGUGGGGCUCUACGCCAGGACAGACAGACGGCCCAUCCAGCAUGCUGAGUUUGUUCGUAGUGCCAGUGCCCGGCAGCGGUACUGGGCAAGGAACUUUGUGGGCUGGCCCCAGUUCUCCUCCCAUCAGCCAAACAGAGCACACCUGGUACUGAGAGACUGGGAAAAGCUGGGGAAGCUGCACUGGCUGGUGACCCAGAACGUGGAUGCCCUUCACGCCAAAGCCGGGAGCCAGCGCAUGACGGAAUUGCACGGCUGCACGCACAGGGUUUUCUGCCUGGACUGUGGAGACCAGAUCUUGCGCUCUGAGCUUCAGGAGCACUUUGAAGCUCUGAAUCCUACCUGGAAAGCUGAAGCAUUCGGUGUGGCUCCGGAUGGGGAUGUCUUCCUGACGGAUGAGCAAGUGCGUAAUUUCCAAGUCCCAGCCUGCCGUAAAUGUGGUGGAAUCCUGAAGCCUGACGUGACAUUCUUUGGAGAUACGGUGAGCCGGGAAAAAGUGGAUUUUGUGCACCAACGUCUGGCAGAAUCAGACUCCAUGCUGGUGGCAGGAUCCUCUAUGCAGGUAUACUCUGGUUACAGGUUUGCUCUCGCUGCCCGGGAGAAGCAGCUGCCAAUUGCAAUCCUCAACAUUGGGCCCACAAGGUUGGACCACUUUGCUUCCUUAAAACUGAAUUCCCGCUGUGGAGAGCUGCUGCCUUUGAUUGUUGUAAAUGACCCAACGAGCUGAGCUUCAGUAGCUAUCAGGAGUAAAAUUAUUUCUACAAGAAAACUACAAGGAACGAUCUGCAAAUUCAGAGGACCUGAUCCAACACCAUUGCCUUUGCAACGGACAAUUCAAAAGCUCUGCCUGGUUGAAAAGAUCCAGCUAAUCCUAAUCAAAACUGCUGUUUAAAAUAAUCAAUUCUAUUUAUAAAGCAGCUUCUUCCCUCCAGUCCUGCAGGACUCAAUCUCAAAAAGGGAAAACUUUGAUGUAAGAGGCAGCUGCGAGAUGCAGUGCGUGGCCCCCGAUGACACCAGGAGAGGGCAGCAAGACUCCCACAUGGCAACCUGUCCAGUUUUUUUCCACUGAAGCCAUCUCCACUUACCAGGAAAUGGGAUGAUGAUGAAAAAAGUACUUUUGUGCCUUCCCUUGCCAUUGUUAACAGUGCCUUUUCAUUCACUGGGACGGGAUAAUCAGUCUACCAUAUCUGAGAACAAAAUACCUUUCUUAUAAAUGUCCCCAGAGAAGAACGAGGGACACAGAUUUUGACCGAGUAACUUGAUGCAACAGCAAAGGAGGGCGAUGUGGAAAACCACAAUAUCUGCUGGAGGAUCCAGUACCACUAGUGGGCAACUGUGGAGUGUGCAGAGGAAAAGGAGGCAAGAGGAACUGUAGUUGUCAUUAAAAAAAAAAAAAGCAGCUGAACAAGAAUACUGCUCUUCUACAAGAUUAUUUAGAAGCACAGACUAUAAGGCUGACGCCUUCUAGCACGGAGGCAAAGUUAAUAUUUCUCUCAACUGCCAGUUGACAAGCUAAACUGCACACUAUCUAUCUGCACCCUUUAAAAAUUAUAUAUUGUUGAGAUGCCAGAGGAGUUAUUUUAAGCUAAUCUGACCAGAACUGCUUCCAGUGUGGCUGCUACAUUUUCCGGAAUGCAUUUUUUUGAAGAUGUUACUUAAUUAAUGAAUAGCUAAGUAGUGAAUUAAAAUUGUUUACAAGACUGA